GACGAACGCUGGCGGCGUGCUUAACACAUGCAAGUCGAACGGAAAGGCCCUGCUUUUGUGGGGUGCUCGAGUGGCGAACGGGUGAGUAACACGUGAGUAACCUGCCCUUGACUUUGGGAUAACUUCAGGAAACUGGGGCUAAUACCGGAUAGGAGCUCCUGCUGCAUGGUGGGGGUUGGAAAGUUUCGGCGGUUGGGGCUGGACUCGCGGCUUAUCAGCUUGUUGGUGGGGUAGUGGCUUACCAAGGCUUUGACGGGUAGCCGGCCUGAGAGGGUGACCGGCCACAUUGGGACUGAGAUACGGCCCAGACUCCUACGGGAGGCAGCAGUGGGGAGUAUUGCACAAUGGGCGGAAGCCUGAUGCAGCAACGCCGCGUGCGGGAUGACGGCCUUCGAGUUGUAAACCGCUUUCGCCUGUGACGAAGCGUGAGUGACGGUAAUGGGUAAAGAAGCACCGGCUAACUACGUG
rnacentral:rRNA from 1 species